rnacentral:misc_RNA from 1 species
GAUGAAGAACGUAGCGAAAUGCGAUAAGUAGUGUGAAUUGCAGAAUUCAGUGAAUCAUCGAAUCUUUGAACGCACAUUGCGCCCCUUGGUAUCCCGAGGGGCAUGCCUGUUCGAGCGUCAUUUCACCACUCAAGCCUGGCUUGGUGUUGGGCGACGUCCCCUUUGGGGACGCGCCUCGAAACGCUCGGCGGCGUGGCACCGGCUUUAAGCGUAGCAGAAUCUUUCGCUUUGGAAGUCGGGGCCCCGUCUGCCGGAAGACCUACUCGCAAGGUUGACCUCGGAUCAGGCAGGGAUACCCGCUGAACUUAAGCAUAUCAAAGCGGAGGA